GGGUGGGGCUAGAUGCUAACUAGGGUGGACGGGGCUAGAUGCUAACUAGGGUGGAUGGGGCUACAGGCUAACUAUGGUGUUGUGGAUGGGGCUAGAGGCUAACUAGGGUGUUGUGGAUGGGGCUAGAGGCUAACUAGGGUGGACGGGGCUAGAGGCUAACUAGGGUGGACGGGGCUAGAGGCUAACUGAGGUGGACGGGGAUAGAUGCUAACUGAGGUGGAUGGGGCUAGAAGCUAACUGAGGUGGACGGGGAUAGAUGCUAACUGAGGUGGAAGGGCUAGAUGCUAACUAGGGUGUUGUGGACAGGGCUAGAGGCUAAGUAGGGUGGACGGGGCUAGAGGCUAACUGAGGGUGUUGUGGACGGGGC
ensembl:lncRNA